UGGGAUAGCUCAAGUGUAGAGCAUGAGACUCUUAAUCUAAAGGUUCUGGGUUCGAGCCCCACAUUGGGCAAAA